rnacentral:rRNA from 1 species
ACGUACACUCCUGCGGGAGGCAGCAGUGGGGAAUAUUGGACAAUGGGCGCAAGCCUGAUCCAGCCAUGCCGCGGGAGUGAUGAAGGCCCUAGGGUUGUAAAGCUCUUUCACCGGUGAAGUUAAUGACGGUAACCGGAGAAGAAGCCCCGGCUAACUUCGUGCCAGCAGCCGCGGUAAUACGAAGGGGGCUAGCGUUGUUCGGAUUUACUGGGCGUAAAGCGCACGUAGGCGGACUAUUAAGUCAGGGGUGAAAUCCCGGGGCUCAACCCCGGAACUGCCUUUGAUACUGGUAGUCUUGAGUUCGAGAGAGGUGAGUGGAAUUCCGAGUGUAGAGGUGAAAUUCGUAGAUAUUCGGAGGAACACCAGUGGCGAAGGCGGCUCACUGGCUCGAUACUGACGCUGAGGUGCGAAAGCGUGGGGAGCAAACAGGAUUAGAUACCCUUGUAGUCCC